rnacentral:rRNA from 1 species
UGCCGAAUCAACUAGCCCUGAAAAUAGAUGGCGCUAAGCGUGACGCUCAUACCAGCCGUCGGCAUCAGUGAAAUACGUCCUGACGAGUAGGAGGGACGCCGCGGUGAGCAACAAAGCGACGGCCGAGAGGCCGCGCAGAGCCACCUCAGGUGCAGAUCUUGGUGGUAGUAGCAAAUACUCAAGUGAGAGCCUUGAGGGCCGAGUCGUGGAGAAGGGUUCCAUAUGAACAGCCUUUGCAAAUGGGUCAGUCGAUCCUAAGGUCUAGGGUAGUUCUGCUCUGUGCGGCGGCGUGCACCCACCUCACCCGUGGGUAAGCGCUCCCUGGCUGAAAAGGAAUCGGGUCAGAGUUGUAAAACUAUUGAGCCCAGAAAUGCUGACCGGAGCCCCGGGAAGAGUUGUCUUUUCUUUGUAAGGGGCGCGGCUCCCUGAAACCAGCUGGAUCGGAGAGAGGGACCGCGGCCCCGUAGAGCACCGCGUCUGGAGUGGCGUCCGGAGUUGCACCGGUCGACCCUUAAAUAUCCGGGGGACAAGCUUGGACUCUCACCUCAGAUCGUACCCAUAACCGCAGCAGAUCUCCAAGGUGAACAGCCUCUGGUCAAUAGAACAAUGUAGGUAAGAGAAGUCGGCAAGCCGGAUCCCUAACUUCAGGAUAAGGAUUGGCUCUGAGGACUGGGUCGGUCGGGACGGGGCUGGAAGCAGGCACGGACCCUCAGCGUGACUGGGCGAGCCGGUCCAAGGCCUGCCUUUGCAGGCGGCGCCAAAAGGCUGGCGAACCCAGACUUGCAUUGCAUUGGUCCGGCUCGUGGACCGUCCUGGCUGCGCGGCGGGCUCGUACCGUCAACCAGC